rnacentral:rRNA from 1 species
UACGGAGGGGGCUAGCGUUGUUCGGAAUUACUGGGCGUAAAGCGCACGUAGGCGGCUGUUCAAGUCAGAGGUGAAAGCCCGGGGCUCAACCCCGGAACUGCCUUUGAAACUAGACAGCUUGAAUCAUGGAGAGGCGGGUGGAAUUCCGAGUGUAGAGGUGAAAUUCGUAGAUAUUCGGAAGAACACCAGUGGCGAAGGCGGCCCGCUGGACAUGUAUUGACGCUGAGGUGCGAAAGCGUGGGGAGCAAACAGG